UACGGAGGAUGCAAGCGUUAUCCGGAAUUACUGGGCGUAAAGCGUGCGCAGGCGGUUGUGCAAGACAGAUGUGAAAUCCCCGGGCUUAACCUGGGAACUGCAUUUGUGACUGCACGGCUAGAGUGCGGCAGAGGGGGAUGGAAUUCCGCGUGUAGCAGUGAAAUGCGUAGAUAUGCGGAGGAACACCGAUGGCGAAGGCAAUCCCCUGGGCCUGCACUGACGCUCAUGCACGAAAGCGUGGGGAGCAAACAGG
rnacentral:rRNA from 1 species